rnacentral:misc_RNA from 1 species
CUGAGUGCUACACUCUCUACCCUUUGUGAACUAUUAUACCUGUUGCUUCGGCGGCGCCCGCGAGGGUGCCCGCCGGUCUCAUCAGAAUCUCUGUUUUCGAACCCGACGAUACUUCUGAGUGUUCUUAGCAAACUGUCA